GGAAGGUAGUUGCUUCCUUCUGAUCACAUUGUGACGCACUCCUGUCCAUAGUGUGAGUAGCCAGUAGUCAAGCUGCGACUCAAGAAAUCUUCACCACAACAGCCAUGGUUGAUGCCGUGGUGAUGACCCUACUGUGUGCUGCUGUAGCAGGUUCCGCUACCAGCAGUAGUUGCAGCAACUGUGACGGUAACAACGUCACCUGUGUUGACGGUGUGUGUCU